rnacentral:tRNA from 1 species
GCCUGCUGGCUCAGUCGGUUGAGCAUCUGACUUCAGCUCAGGUUGUGAUCCUGCGGUCCGUGAGUUCGAGCCCCGCGUCGGGCU